GAUGAACGCUGGCGGCGUGCCUAAUACAUGCAAGUCGAGCGAACAGAUAAGGAGCUUGCUCCUUUGACGUUAGCGGCGGACGGGUGAGUAACAAGUGGGUAACCUACCUAUAAGACUGGGAUAACAUCGGGAAACCGGAGCUAAUACCGGAUAAUAUUUCGAACCGCAUGGUUCGAUAGUGAAAGAUGGUUUUGCUGUCACUUAUAGAUGGACCCGCGCCGUAUUAGCUAGUUGGUAAGGUAACGGCUUACCAAGGCGACGAUAGGUAGCCGACCUGAGAGGGUGAUCGGCCACACUGGAACGUAGACACGGUCCAGAGUCCUGCGGUAGGGAGCAGUAUGGAAUCUUCCGCAAUGGGCGAAAGCCUUACGGAGCGACGCCGCGUGUGUGAUGAAGGUCCUCGGAGCGUAAUGCCCUGUUAUUAGUGAAGAACAUACGUGUAAGUAACUGUGCACGUCUUGACGGUACCUAAUCAGAAAGCCACGGCUAACUACGUG
rnacentral:rRNA from 1 species